ensembl:lncRNA
CGCCAUGGAAACCGCUGAGAGACAUACGUCGAGGGUGAGGGAUGGAGAGAGAAAAAGGGACAACGAGGGACAGAGAGAAAGAGAGAGAGAGGGGGGAGACAUGAAAAGACAGGCUGCUCGCAUGGCGGGGAUGGAGACGUUCACCGAUGGAAGCACUGGAGGAAGAAAAAGAAGAGUUUGGUAAGAAGAGCGCAUGGAGGACAAAUGGAUGGAUGCUGUAUGUGUUAGCACCCCUCCUCCUCCCUCCUCACCCCCUCAUCCACCUCACCCCUCCAACACCAUCUUAUUUUCCCCUCCUUCAAUCUCACACACCCUCCCUCCAUCCCUCUCUUCCACAGACGCGCACAACCACAC